rnacentral:misc_RNA from 1 species
GGCCAUACACAAAUAAAGUGGUGAAAAUAUAAUAAAAUUAAAAAAAUAAUGAAAAAUUUUAGUUCUAAGUGCAAACAGUUCACUACAAGAUCUGUUUGAAAAGAUUCACAUGGAACCUUCAAAUGCUAACAGGUCUAAGCAUAAUAAAAAACAAGAGCCAUUAAAAGAAAGAUUUGUUGUUCAUUGCCACCCUUCCCCCUCUCUCCACCCCCACCCCCCAAGGCAAACAGUAUUGGACAAGGUACCUG